rnacentral:lncRNA from 1 species
UUAUGCCUAUUUGACGUCGACUAAGUGUAGACACUACAAGAUAUAUUGGAAUUACAUACGGACUUUUACAUAUGGAUCCUGGUCUAUAUGUAAUGCAAUUAUUACAUACAAAUUUUAUAUACGGAUACUGAAGAGAGAGUUACAUACGAAUUUUACAUACUGAUUAUUCGUAUGUAAAAAUUUGUAUUCAAUAUUUGCCUAUAAUGUACGCGUGUGAUGGUGGGAAAGUUACCUAAGGAAAAUGUUUGUAUGUAAUGUGUAGAAUCCGUAUAUAAUGUGAAACAAUUGUUAUUUGUUUAUAUUACAUACAGAUAUAGAAAAUCAUUUUUAAAAGAAAUUGAAUUUUGGUUAAGCCCCUUUUAUUGAAAAUCUCGGCCCUAAUUCACCUCACUCAAACCCUCUCUCGAGCUCUCGUCUCUCAUAGCCCUAAUUCACCCCACUCGAACCCGUACUCGAGCUCUCGCCUCUCGAAACUUCACUUCACAACCUAACUCCACCUUUGUGUCGUCCAUCCUUCAGUCCACCUCUCAUCUCCCAAACCUUCAUUCCACUUAUUCUCUCUUGAGCCUUUCUUCUGUCGAACCGUCACUCCACCUCUCUUGAGCCCUAGCCCCAGCAUUGUUUUGUCGAACCGUCACUCGACCUCUCUUCUCUUGAACCCUAGUCCAUGUUCGAAGGUUUUUCCUCAUCUUGUCUCCGACACCAAAGAAUCUCGUUGACGAAACAAUAUCAGUCACCAAAUAGUUUCGUUCGGCCUCCGUGAUUCUAUGUGAGUCUUCGUUGCCUUAUUGGUUAGGUUGACGUUGAGACCUUCAUGUGGUAAGUGAUACUUCUCUUCCUUCAUUUUCGUUGUAAUUUGUGUGGGUGAAACACGCGAACCCUAAUGUGUGUUAUUUUUGUUUUAAUUGGCCCAUUUUUGGUUCGGCUAACAAGACGUGUUGGAUUGUGACCAGGCAUCGAUUGAUGCGUCUGUGUUGCGGUUAAGGUGAGGCAGAUUACACUUGGUGGUGCGAAGAGCCUAAGUGAAGGAGCCAAAGAAAAAGGUCUUUUUAAUUUCCUCUUUUGCUUGGUUUGCUAUGGUUUUAUACGGUAUUGGUCUUGUAUCAUUUUCCUUAUUCCUUAUUCUCAUUCUCAUUCUAAUGCAUUUAUCAUAGCAG